AUUGAACGCUGGCGGCAGGCCUAACCCAUGCAAGUCGAGCGAGCGGCGGACGGGUGAGUAAUGUAUGGGGAUCUGCACGAUAGAGGGGGAUAAUUACUGGAAACGGUUGCUAAUACCGCAUACUAUCGGAUGAUACCAUAUGGGAUUAGCUAGUAGGAUGGGUAACGGCUUACCUAGGCGACGAUCGCUAGCCGGUCUGAGAGGAUGAUCAGCCAUACGGGGGCUGUGACAGGGCCCAGACUCCUACGGGAUGCAGCAGUGGGGAAUAGUUCGCAAUGGGGGCAACCCUGACGCAGCCAUGCCGCGUGAAUGAAGGAGGCCUUCGGGUUGUAAAGUUCUUUCGGUAGCGGGGCGUUAACUACAGAGGAAGCACCGGCUAACUCCGUGCCAGCAGCCGCGGUAAUAC
rnacentral:rRNA from 1 species